UACAGAGGGUGCGAACGUUGCUCGGAAUUACUGGGCGUAAAGCGCGUGUAGGCGGAUCCAUAAGUCGGGCGUGAAAUCCCCAGGCUCAACCUGGGAACUGCGCUCGAAACUGUGGGUCUAGAGUGUCGGAGAGGAUGGCGGAAUUCCUGGUGUAGAGGUGAAAUUCGUAGAUAUCAGGAGGAACACCGGUGGCGAAGGCGGGUCUCUGGGCAGUAACUGACGCUGAGGAGCGAAAGCGUGGGGAGCGAACAGG
rnacentral:rRNA from 1 species